UUACAUUACUCCAUCCAUUGUUUAUUAGCAUUUAUGUACAUUAAAAUAAGCAUAUACAAUAGUCAACCACAACUACAAGCAUGUAACUUUAUCACAGAACAAAAACAAAAUGCAGCCAAUGUAAUAGGGUUAAAAAUUUAUUGCUCAACCCAACAAACAAAAAUAAAAAAAACAGAACUAUCCUUCAUUAUAUAUAUAUCAUAGGUCCUAAAGGUGUGCUAUAGCAGUACAAGAAAAACUGACUAAGAAUUUAAUAUGAAGAGAGAUGCUGGUUGAAUAAAUGAUAGAAAUAGUAUGGAGAGUAAUUUUUUGCUUAGGUUGUCACACCUUAUAUAGGUAAUAAAUAAAUAAUUAAUUAGUCAGUAAUUAUUGGUAAUUAAUCAUUUAGUUUGAUAUUAAAAAGGGAAAUAACUUCUACAUUAUUGAGAUAUAAUUUUUAAGGGCAAAGUUCUUCCAUAUUAGAUAAGCUUUGCUUUUUUUUUUUUUUUUUUUUUUUA